GUAAAAUGAUUCCAUACUUCUAAAACGAGGUUCUUUGUUUAAAGCAGCCAUGACGUUAUACGAAAAAGGGUCGAUCUGACUAUGAUGAAUUUGCUUGUUGUGCAACAGUUCGCGUAUGAAGGGAAAUUUUGAAACAUACAAAAUAUAUUGGUGCCGAUUUUGUGAACUAAAUUGAGGCUAAAUAUUUCAAUGCGUUGACAGUUUUCACACAUGACGUUGGUGUUAGCUUGUUCUGAUUUUCGUUUCGUUCUCAUUAUGCUUUGUAACCUGGAAACUAUCGUCUGUAUUUCGUGAUUUUUACGUAUCAAAUCAAACAGAAACUUCGGUAAAUCAAACAGUUAACUGUUUACCUGCGCAAAUUAAGCAAAAUCGGAUGUAGGGGUACUGAAAUACAAUUCAUUCUAUCGAUAAUUCGGCAUUAUCUUUUGCGUAAUGGUACAUGUAGAUUAAUGCAAUAGGUUUUGUUGAGAUGCUCGGCAUUUUUUCGAGUUUAUUCAGUUUAAAUAGAGUUUGAUAUCGCUGACGGAAAUAUGUAGGUAUAUACAUGUAUAUAUAUGAUUCAUUUCGAAAAAAUAAAUUGUGUUCUUUAUUUGUU
rnacentral:sRNA from 1 species